rnacentral:rRNA from 1 species
GGCGAGUGAAGCGGCAACAGCUCAAAUUUGAAAGCUGGCUCCUUUGGGGUCCGCAUUGUAAUUUGGAGAGGAUGCCUCGCGGACGGUGCCACCUUAAGUCCCUUGGAACAGGGCGUCACAGAGGGUGAGAGUCCCGUAUGUGGGUGGAUGCCCGACGCGUGUGAGGCUCCUUCGACGAGUCGAGUUGUUUGGGAAUGCAGCUCUAAUUGGGAGGUAAAUUUCUUCUAAAGCUAAAUAUCGGCCGGAGACCGAUAGCGCACAAGUAGAGUGAUCGAAAGAUGAAAAGCACUUUGAAAAGAGAGUCAAACAGCACGUGAAAUUGUUGAAAGGGAAGCGCUUGCCAUCAGACGUGCCUGCGGUCGAUCACCCGCCGUUCUCGGUGGGGCACUCGGCCGUGGGCAGGCCAGCAUCGGUUCGGGGGGUUGGAGAAAGGUGGCGGGAAUGUGGCUCCCUACGGGGAGUGUUAUAGCCCGCUACGGAAUACAGCCUCCCUGGACCGAGGUCCGCGCUUCGGCUAGGAUGCUGGCGUAAUGAUUGCAAGCGGCCCGUCUUGAAACACGGACCAAGGAGUCUAACACCUACGCGAGUGUUCGGGCGUUAAACCCGUGCGCGCAAUGAAAGUGAACGGAGGCGGGAGCCUUUGGGCGCACCGUCGACCGAUCCGGAUGUCUUCGGAUGGAUUUGAGUAAGAGCGUAGUUGUUGGGACCCGAAAGAUGGUGAACUAUGCCUGAAUAGGGCGAAGCCAGAGGAAACUCUGGUGGAGGCUCGCAGCGGUUCUGACGUGCAAAU